rnacentral:rRNA from 1 species
UACGUAGGCAGCAAGCGUUGUUCGGAGUUACUGGGCGUAAAGGGUGCGUAGGCGGUUGUUUAAGUUUGGUGUGAAAUCUCCCGGCUCAACUGGGAGGGUGCGCCGAAUACUGAAUGACUAGAGUGCGGGAGAGGAGAGUGGAAUUCCUGUUGUAGCGGUGAAAUGCGUAGAUAUCAGGAGGAACACCGGUGGUGUAGACGGCUCUCUGGACCGUAACUGACGCUGAGGCACGAAAGCGUGGGGAGCAAACAGG